rnacentral:rRNA from 1 species
UACGUAGGUGGCAAGCGUUGUCCGGAAUUACUGGGUGUAAAGGGCGUGUAGACGGGUGUGCAAGUCAGAUGUGAAAUUCCAGGGCUCAACCCUGGCGCUGCAUCUGAAACUGUGCAUCUUGAGUGUUGGAGAGGAAAGCGGAAUUCCUAGUGUAGCGGUGAAAUGCGUAGAUAUUAGGAGGAACACCAGUGGCGAAGGCGGCUUUCUGGACAAUAACUGACGUUGAGGCGCGAAAGCGUGGGGAGCAAACAGGAUUAGAUACCCUGGUAGUCCACGCCGUAAACGAUGGAUACUAGGUGUGGGAGGUAUCGACCCCUUCCGUGCCGGAGUAAACACAAUAAGUAUCCCACCUGGGGAGUACGGCCGCAAGGUUGAA